rnacentral:rRNA from 1 species
GACGAACGCUGGCGGCGUGCUUAACACAUGCAAGUCGAACGAAGUGGCGCACGGGUGAGUAACGCGUAAUCAACCUGCUCUUCAGCGGGGGACAACAGUUGGAAACGACUGCUCAUACCGCAUACUGCAGGAGGGGCUUGCGUCUGAUUAGCUGGUUGGAGGGGUAACGGCCCACCAAGGCGAUGAUCAGUAGCCGGGCUGAGACGAUUAACGGCCACAUUGGGACUGAUACACGGCCCAGACUCCUACGGGAGGCAGCAGUGGGGAGUCUUCCGCAAGGGACGAAAGUCUGACGGAGCAACGCCGCGUGAGUGAUGACGGCCUUCGGGAUGUAAAGCUCUGUUAAGCGGGACGCGGUACCGGAAUAGAAAGCCACGGCUAACUACGUGCCAGCAGCCGCGGUAAUUC